rnacentral:rRNA from 1 species
ACCAGACUCCUACGGGAGGCAGCAGUGGGGAAUAUUAGACAAUGGGGGAAACCCUGAUCCAGCGACGCCGCGUGAGUGAAGAAGUAUUUCGGUACGUAAAGCUCUAUCAGCAGGAAAGAAAAUGACGGUACCUGACUAAGAAGCCCCGGCUAACUACGUGCCAGCAGCCGCGGUAAUACGUAGGGGGCAAGCGUUAUCCGGAUUUACUGGGUGUAAAGGGAGCGUAGACGGCAGCACAAGUCUGGAGUGAAAUGCCGGGGCUUAACCCCGGAACUGCUUUGGAAACUGUGCAGCUAGAGUACAGGAGAGGGAAGUGGAAUUCCUAGUGUAGCGGUGAAAUGCGUAGAUAUUAGGAGGAACACCAGUGGCGAAGGCGGCUUACUGGACUGUAACUGACGUUGAGGCUCGAAAGCGUGGGGAGCAAACAGGAUUAGAUACCCCUGUACUA